rnacentral:rRNA from 1 species
AGGGUUUGAUUCUGGCUCAGAACGAACGCUGGCGGCAGGCUUAACACAUGCAAGUUGAACGGGAACAUACGAUAGCUUGCUAUAGUAUGUGAGAGUGGCGCACGGGUGAGUAAUACAUGGGAACAUACCUUGAAGUGGGGGAUAACUUCUGGAAACGGAUGCUAAUACCGCAUAUACCCUGAGGGGGAAAGAUUUAUCGCUUUAAGAUUGGCCCAUGGCAGAUUAGGUAGUUGGUGGGGUAAAGGCCUACCAAGCCGACGAUCUGUAGCUGGUCUGAGAGGACGAUCAGCCACAUUGGGACUGAGACACGGCCCAG